AUUGAACGCUGGCGGCAUGCCUUACACAUGCAAGUCGAACGGCAGCACGGGGGCAACCCUGGUGGCGAGUGGCGAACGGGUGAGUAAUGCAUCGGAAUGUACCCAGUAGUGGGGGAUAACUAGUCGAAAGACUGGCUAAUACCGCAUACGCACUAUGGUGGAAAGCGGGGGAUCGCAAGACCUCGCGCUAUUGGAGCAGCCGAUGUCCGAUUAGGUAGUUGGUGGGGUAAAGGCCUACCAAGCCUGCGAUCGGUAACUGGUCUGAGAGGACGACCAGUCACACUGGGACUGAGACACGGCCCAGACUCCUACGGGAGGCAGCAGUGGGGAAUUUUGGACAAUGGGCGCAAGCCUGAUCCAGCAAUGCCGCGUGUGUGAAGAAGG
rnacentral:rRNA from 1 species